CCCCUACGGGAGGCAGCAGUGGGGAAUAUUGCACAAUGGGGGGAACCCUGAUGCAGCGACGCCGCGUGAGUGAAGAAGUAUCUCGGUACGUAAAGCUCUAUCAGCAGGGAAGAAAAUGACGGUACCUGACUAAGAAGCCCCGGCUAACUACGUGCCAGCAGCCGCGGUAAUACGUAGGGGGCAAGCGUUAUCCGGAUUUACUGGGUGUAAAGGGAGCGUAGACGGCACUGCAAGUCCGGAGUGAAAGCCCAAGGCUUAAC
rnacentral:rRNA from 1 species